rnacentral:rRNA from 1 species
AACGAACGCUGGCGGCAGGCUUAACACAUGCAAGUCGAGCGCCCCGCAAGGGGGGCGGCAGACGGGUGAGUAACGCGUGGGAAUCUACCCAGCUCUACGGAAUAACCCAGGGAAACUUGGACUAAUACCGUAUACGUCCUUCGGGAGAAAGAUUUAUCGGAGUUGGAUGAGCCCGCGUUGGAUUAGCUAGUUGGUGGGGUAACGGCCUACCAAGGCGACGAUCCAUAGCUGGUCUGAGAGGAUGAUCAGCCACACUGGGACUGAGACACGGCCCAGACUCCUACGGGAGGCAGCAGUGGGGAAUAUUGGACAAUGGGCGCAAGCCUGAUCCAGCCAUGCCGCGUGAGUGAUGAAGGCCCUAGGGUUGUAAAGCUCUUUCACCGGUGAAGAUAAUGACGGUAACCGGAGAAGAAGCCCCGGCUAACUUCGUGCCAGCAGCCGCCGUAAAAC